AUCACUUCUCGGCCUUUUGGCUAAGAUCAUGCAUAGUAUCUGUUCUUAUCAGUUUAAUAUCUGAUACGUCCUCUAUCCGAGGACUCAGUGGAAGGAGUCAAGGAGUCGAUAUUUA
rnacentral:snRNA from 1 species